rnacentral:rRNA from 1 species
GUGCUCCCCCGCCAAUUCCUUUAAGUUUCAGCCUUGCGGCCGUACUUCCCAGGUGGCUCGCUUCACGGCUUCCCUGCGGCACCAGACACGGUCGCGCCAUGCCUGACACCUAGCGAGCAUCGUUUACGGCUGGGACUACCCGGGUAUCUAAUCCGGUUCGUGCCCCCAGCUUUCGUCCCUCACCGUCGAACCCGUUCUGGUAAGACGCCUUCGCCACAGGUGGUCCCACAGGGAUUACAAGAUUUCACUCCUACCCCUGUAGUACCUCUUACCUCUCCCGGUUCCAAGCCUGGCAGUAUCCCCCGAAAGCCUAACGGUUAAGCCGUCAGAUUUCCCGGAGGACUGACCAAACCGGCUACGGACCCUUUAGACCCAAUAAUCACGAUCACCACUCGGGCCGCCGGUGUUACCGCGGCGGCUGGCACCGGUCUUGCCCGGCCCUUGCUGACAGGUGUAUUUUACACACCCGGACAGCCAGCAUAUGAUGCUGGCACUCGGUGUCCCCUUAUCACGGUUUCCCGCAUUGUAAAGUUUUCGCGCCUGCUGCGCCCCGUAGGGCCUGGAUUCAUGUCUCAGAAUCCAUCUCCGGGCUCUUGCUCUCACAACCCGUACCCGUUGUUGGCUAGUAGGUACAUUACACCCACUACUACCUGAUAGGCCGCAGACCCAUCCUUGGGCAGACGAAUCCAUUUUACGCAUAAAGCAUUCCAGCAUAUGUGCGUUAUCCGGAAUUAUCCCCAGUUUCCCGGGGUUAUGCCGGACCCAAGGGCAGGUUAUCCACGUGUUACUGAGCCGU